AGUUGGUCCAAGGGUUAUGGAUAUUGUUAAGCUGAUUUAGCACUGUUUCUCCCCACAACCAUCACAGCCAUGCUUGACUAGCUAAAG
rnacentral:Y_RNA from 1 species